UACGUAGGGUGCGAGCGUUAAUCGGAAUUACUGGGCGUAAAGCGUGCGCAGGCGGUUUUGUAAGACAGAUGUGAAAUCCCCGGGCUUAACCUGGGAACUGCAUUUGUGACUGCAAGGCUAGAGUACGGCAGAGGGGGGUAGAAUUCCACGUGUAGCAGUGAAAUGCGUAGAUAUGUGGAGGAACACCGAUGGCGAAGGCAACUGCCUGGGCCUGAUCUGACACUGAGGCACGAAAGCGUGGGUAGCAAACAGG
rnacentral:rRNA from 1 species